AUGGCAGUACAGUGCAUGCAGGAAAAACCAGGACAUAGACCUUCUAUAUCGGAAAUAAUCCACAUUUUGAGUGAACCUGGGAGGAUGAAUGGUAACCCUGACGAGAGUAAUCAUCUUCCCACAGACAUUAGUAUAUAUAUCUUGGAGCAGUUCCAGUUUGUGCGAAAUCUCCAGCAGUUCUGGAAAGAGGAACCGAGAUUUCUCUCGGGUCUUCCACCACCCGCCCGAGCUCCCACCCCGCCGCUCUGUCCAAGAUCCGCUCCGGCCGCCGCCCGUCCGAGCUUCACCCGUCCAAGUCAAACUCCUCCACUGCCGUCAGAUCGAGCUGCUCCGACCUGGCUCCAUCAGAGCUCCUCCGACUCGGGUCCAUCCGAUCUCCUCUACCCUAGCCAGACACACCUGGCUCCUACGUGCUCUGUUCUGCCGCCUGAGAUCGGUAGCCUCCUCCUCUCGUGUGCUUAG
rnacentral:rRNA from 1 species